CCGAACCCCACACUCCAAACCUUAUCCCCUUUCUCCAGAUCCACCACACACACCGCCGCCCUAGAUGCCCUCUCCGGCCGGCGGCGGCGCUACGCGUCCAGCUAGGCUGCCACCACUCUGUUCCCCUCUUCCUCCCACCCCUCCAUCUUCGUCCCAGAUGGCUGCUAUUUUCCCACGCAGAGGUGGGUUUGUGCCGGCGCCGCCAUCACACAGUUGCCAACGGCGGCGCUUUUUGUUCAUACGCAAGCACCCGGUGAUGCUACCUCUCACCUCCCUCGCAUGGCUCCACCACCCCAACCCAGGCUAGCUAGAUCUAUGUGGGACAAUGUCCCUUUGCUCCCAGUGGUCAGGUCCAAGGCACCCAGCCCCUGCUUCCUCUGCUUCCGGUGAUUAGGAGCUUGGUGGUAGGUGCCCCCAUCUCUCCCCACUUCAGGAGAACGAGCUAGCCAUCCAUUGCAGAAACAAUACCAUAAGUUCUCUCUCUCUCUUUCUCUCUCUCUCUCUCUCUCUCUGUGUGUGUGUGUGUGUGUGUGCGCGCGCGUGUGUGUGUUCAGAUUCCAACUCCCACUGGUAGACCAUGUGUGUGUGUGUGUGUUUUCAGAUUCCAACUCCCACCGGUGGACCAUGUGUGUGUGUGGGUGUUCAGAUUCCAACUCCCACCGGUAGACCAUAUUUUUUUACUUGGUUGUAAGUUUAAUCUCUCCCAAAAAAAUUGUGCUGCUUUGCCUCAUGGAGGCAGAAGUCCUUAAAGUAGUAAAGUUCAAUCCCGAACAUUCAAUCACUAUUAUUGUUUGUAUUCUAGGGUUGUUAGCAGAUUGAAUUUCAAAAUUAUUUUUUUUGUAGGGGAAAUGAAUCUUUAGUAAGUUUGGGCAAAAAGGCCACCAUAUGAUGUCCAUAGUCAUAUGCAUGCAUCACAUCGACUUGAUCCUACUACUAUUUACUCUCUCAAGAACCUCUGUGAGUAUGUAUGUUUGAUAGCAAGCAAUGUUAGAUGCCCUCACUGUUUACUUCUGAUUGGCAUAUAGGACUAUGUGCUUGUCUAGUAAACGCAUCUCCAGUUUUCUAUUAAUUUUUUGGUACAAACGAAAUACAUGUAGCACUUUGUAAAUAUUUCCUUGUGAAAAUAUCAUACUAUAACAUUAUCUUCUAUUUAGGUCCCAGAAGUGUUAAUUGGUUUCAACUUUGAAAGACCACAUGAAUUCUUCUAUGGGGCGUCUGAAAGGGGAAUCUUCGUCAUUCGUCACCAAGCUAGUCAAUCUCCUUUCAGGAAGAAUAGUACAAAAAACUCUAUGCUUAGCACACAUCUGCUAUGGAAAGUACAUCAUCGUUAAGCCUAGGAAACAAACCAAAGGACUACACUCACAAGGAACCACGAAGCCAACGAUUGACGUCAACUAGAUGUUUCAGAUUUCAUUUUGUACAACUGAUGUCUCAUGCUUGCAUCUUUUACCUGUCCUUUUGUGAAUGGCUCGGUGGUUAUGUUUAAAAUAGACUGAAGUGUAUGUAUGUGACAAAUAGUUAAUGGAAUAAAAAAAUUGUUUGGUGCA